AUACCUGUUUCACAUGGGAAGGAGAAAACAAGUCCUUUAAGAAAGCAGUAUUGUUAUGACACCAAAACCACAAGCAACAAAAGAAAAACUAAGUUGAACUUCAUAAGAAACUUUUGUGCAUCAAAAGACACUAUCAACAGAGGGACAGGCAUCCCAUGGAGUGGGGGAAGAUAUUUGCACAUCACAUGUUGAAUAGGAGACUGAUACCCAGAAUAUAUAAAGAAUGCCUACAACCCUACAGCAAGAAACCCAAACAACCCAAUCAAAAAACGGGCAUGGGGCUGACAUUUCUCCAAACAGAAGCUAGAAAAGCCCAACAUGCACAUGAAAAUGUGCUCAGCGUUACUAGCCAUUAGGGCAAAGCCGAUCAAAACCAAAAUGAGAUGUCCCUUCACACUCAUGACAAUGGUGACUAUCAAAAAAACCAGGAAGUAACAGGUGUUGGUGAGAAUGUGGAGACACUGGAACUUUAGUGCUCUGUUGGUGGGAAUUAUUAAAUGAUGCAGCCACUGUGUUAAAUGUUUUGACAUGGUUUGGCUCUGUUUCCCCACCCAAAUCUCAUGUUGAAUUCUAAUCCCUCGUGUUGGAGGUGUGGCCUGGCGGGAGGUGAUUGAUCAUGGCUGGGGACUUCCCCCUUGCUGUUGUUGUGAUAGAGUUCUCCCGAGAUCUGUUUGUUUAAAAGUAUGUAGCCCCUCCUCUCUCUUUCUCUCUCUGCUCCCAGCCAUGUGAAGAUGUGCUUGCUUCCUCUUCACCUUCUGCCAUGAUUGUAAGUUUCCUGAGGCUUCCCAGAAGCAGAGUCCUGUACAGACUACAGAAGGCUGGGAGGAGACGGAAGCAGUCUGGGGCUCUGUCGUUGGCAGAAUGAGUCACACUGGACAGGCGAGAGUCUGGAAGAAUGGCAGGCACAGCUUGCAAGCGCAUCUGGAGGGGGCUGGAGAGAAAGUUACAGAAGGCUGCACAGCUCCUGCCCAGCUCUCCAGAUGUCUCCUCUUGGCAUCUGGAAUCCCACCACCACACCAGGAAAAGCCAAAGGCUUGAGAUGCCUGUGCAAAUCAGUGAUGGAUAGCCUCUGCUGAUCCCAGCCCUGGUGCCGGACAUCCAAGUGCAGACAUGAUGUGGGGUGUGAGUUCUCUAGCCUAAGUCACAAGACCCUGACACCAAGGGGCAGUUGUCACCACCCAGCAUCUUGGCUUUCCAAGAAGAGGGAAAGAGGUUCUAGAAAUAAGGUUGCCGCUGGCAGUGGAUUCUAAACUCAUCCAGUGGGACAGGUGCCUUUGGACCUUCCUGGGCCCUUCCCAUGCUGCCUCCUGUUACUCAUCCUCUGUAGCCUCCAUGUCCACUGGAGUGGAGAACUGGUGAGGGCCGGGGUCGCCUGUCUUUUGACCUCUUGCUCCUGACUGACCCUGGUUCCCAGAAAGUCUCUGCCUCAAAUGCAGUGUGACAAGGAAGCAGCUGUGAUGUCCGACCCCGAGGGACCGUUUUUCCAUCCUCUGUGGCUUAGCUGUUAUAGGCACAUGAAAACAGGUUGGGGCCGGGCGUGGUGGCUCAUGCCUGUAAUCCCAGCUCUUUGGGAGGCCAAGGCAGGCAGAUCAUUUGAGGUCAGAAGUUCAAGACCAUCCUGGCCAACAUGGUGAAACCCUGUCUCUACUGAAAAUACAAAAAUUAGCUGGAUGUGAUGGCACAUGCCUGUAGUCCCAACUACUUGGGAGGCUGAGGUAGGAGAAUGGCUUAAAUCCAGGAGGUGGAGGUUGCAGUGAGCUGAGAUCAGGCCACUGCACUCCAGCCUGGGCAACAUAGUGAGACUCCCAUCUAAAAUAAUAAUAAUAAAAAACAAAACAGGUUGGGAUAAUUUUUAAGCUAAAGAAGAAAACCAAACAGUGAUUACCCUCCUGAGCUGCAUUCCUACCUAGUCUUAGAAGAAUGGAAGCUGCCAGCAUCUCUGGGCUAUGUCAAUGGGCUGGUCUGUGUACCAUGGCGUGGGGUAUGAAAUCUCGUGCAUGUGUCUGUGUGGCAGUUUUGUCUUUUGUGUCAUGACUGCAGUGGGGUGGACACUGUGCGUACAGAAGGGCUGAAGUGAUUGACGUGUGACCUAGAGGCCUUUCUGCAAAACAGAAAAACCACAUGUGGCUGGAUGUGCUAAGGUAAAUGGCAAUUAGGGACCUCGCUGCUUUAGGGAGCCUGGUCUCCCUUUGACCAGGCUCCUUAGAGUGGGGUCCCUGGACCAUGGCUGUUUGUGAAUCAUGUGUUCCUAGUCAGCAGAGAAGUUAGUCCAGGAAGUGAGAAUAAGCACGGAGGAACUUCGGUGCCCAUUUGACAUCUCUGCGCAUCAAUCCAUGCAUGGGAAUCUGCGUUUUACAAAUGCACUGGAUAGUGACAGACAGCGAAGCUUAAAAAACCAAACUGGUUCAACACCACACAUAGUUUGGGAGCUUUUACUUUAAAGGGAUUUCUUAACCCAGUGCCUAAGAUUGUGUUUAUACAUAUGUGCAUUUUUGUGAGAAGAUGUUCUUCCACAGGGCUCCAGUACUCCCCAAGGAUCAGAAACCUCAGUGAUAAAUUUCCGACUAGAUGAUAUGUACUAUGCCGUGCGUGUUCUUCAGCUGUGAUGUAUGGUGUGUCUAACACCUGCCUAUUAGCAGCUGGAUUCCCUUCUACAAUGUGAUAUAUAAUGUAUGGUGUGACAGAGCUGGGUAAUAAACACUUCCAUAGACAAUGUCAGCUGCGUACUAUCUGUGCGCUGGUGAUGAAUCACCACAGAACACACCACCACACAGCACAGCUGCCGGGGGAGCUGUGGCAGGGCAACUCUGCCAGGGCACCCACUGCUCUCUGAUCUUGAAAGGUAGUUUCUCCUUCCUCCCAACUUGGCCCUUCAGGAAAGAGAGAGAUGCUUCUGUUGGGCCACAGACAGUUUGAAAGGCUGGACCAUUGCUGUGGCACCAGCCUCUGGCCCUGGGCUCGGAUUUGGGGUCACUGGCAACCCUGGAAGUUGAGCUUCACCAAUUCUACGAUGUACUCCCGACUCCAGCACUCAGAUUUGAAUACUUCUGAAAUUAAAAUGUGCCCUUCCUUCCAUUGAUGAAAAGAACUCUUGUUUCACAGACUGGUUGGCAGCAUUUUCUUCCUAGUCAACCUUUGCUGUAUCUGCCUGGCCGGGAUGGACAUACCUUUAGUGCUGAGGAGUGGAGGGCCUCGGAUGACGGGUCUUCCAGAGCCAGCUCCUGCCUCCUUUCCACCCGGACAUCUGCGUAACUGUGCAGGAAAUUAAGAGACCACAGUGGAAGCGGGGUGUCCCAGCACAGGAUGACACCACCCAAACAGACUACAAGGUGCAUCAAGGUUCUCUAUGUAACACCCGCCCCCACAACAGUCAACAGAGAGAAGCCUAGUCUGUUACUCUUGGAAGGAAUGAGUGUCAUUCUCUGCCUUAAAUUCCACCCGAGUGACUUAUAAUAUUACGUUCGAAAUCAUUUUAUUUCUAGGAUGUCUUUAUUCCCCUCUCAUUUACUAUUCUUUUUACUUCCCUGAAAUCUUCAAUUGUAAUUGUCUUUAAAAAACACAUUUUUGUCUAUGGGAUAAGCUUCUGCCUUUAAAUAAUUAGAAGCCUUUCUUAAAACCUGUUCAGUCUGGACGGUGCAUAUGGAAGAGUGACAGAAAACUUUUUUAGUAGUUACAUUCCUCAGAAAGUUUCCUCUCAAAGAAACCUAGAACUGGCUAAAUCCAGACCGCAGAUGUGCCCACAGGCCCACUUGUCAAUAGUGUGGGUAAAUCGACUCAGCACAGUGAUGCCCAGGUGACCCUGUGAUGCCUCUGCCCUGGGUGUGGAGACCCUGGGGCAAGAGACCUUGGGAAGCAACAUGGCUCCUGAGCCUCCGGAAUGCCUGCCACCUGAUUCAUUUACUUGGUUCCCUCCCUGCUUUCUCUGAGCGUUUCUUCCAAGGAUUUGAGAGGUAGAGGAUGGAGAAGAGUGGGUAGAGGGCACAGCCUGAAGAGUGAAGGGUCAGUGCUGCCCAGCCUUCCCUGGGGUAAGGGGGCCCUCGGGCAGAGGACCAGGCUGGGUGGCAACAGGGGGCUGGUGACUCGUCAGAGACCAUCACUGCUGCAUGCCCAGGGGUGGGCUGGGAAUCAAAGAGCGAAUGCCUGAGUGAGGGCAUGAGGUGUGAUAAAGUGGCAUCAGGGUCACUGGCUGCUGAAAACUAGUGUUUCUCCCUUCUUCUGCAUGUUAAGGAAGAAUGCUUGACUUGGUGACCUGAUGUAUGUAUGGGGUGUGUGUGUGUGUGUGUGUGUGUGUGUGUGUGUGUGUGUAGUGUCUGUCUGCAUCUGUCUGUUACACGUAUAUAGUCAUGUGCUUAUAGGAUGUAUUGGUGCUUCCCUAAGAUUAGAACACUGUAUUUUUUAAAAUUAUGCUUUAAGUUCUGAGGUACAUGUCCAGAAUGUGCAGGAUUGUUACAUAGGUAUACACAUGCCAUGGUGGUUUGCUGCAUCCAUCCCCCGUCACCUACAUUAGGUAUUUCUCCUAAUGUUAUCCCUCCCCAAUCCCCCCACCCCCCAACAGGCCCCUGUGUGUGAUGUCCCCUCCCUAAGAACACUGUAUUUUUAUUGUACCUUUUCUGUGUUCAGAUACGUUUAGAGGCACGGAUACUUGCACCUGUGCCAUGACUGUCUGCAGUGUUCAGCACAGCAGCAGCUGUUCAGGUGUGCAGCCUAGGAACAGAGCACUCUGUGGUGCAGCCAAGGUAUAUGGUAGGCCUCACCAUCUAGGUGUGUGUGAGUACAGUCUACAAUGCUUGCAUGAUGACAAAAUCACCUAACAACACAUUUCUCAGAACAGAUAUCCAUUAGUAAGCAGCAAGGGACUGUAUAUAAGAAACGCGUAUGAAAUUUAGUUUUUUUUAAAUUCUAUGGAACCCUAUGCAGCCAUAGAAAAGACUGAGUUCAUGUCCUUUGCAGGGAUGUGGAUGAAGCUGGAAGCCAUCAUCCUCAGCAAACUAACACAGGUACAGAAAACCAAACACCACAUGUUCUCAGUCAUGGGUGACAAUUGAACAAUGAGAACACAUGGACAGAGGGAGGGGCAAGUCACACACCAGGGCCUGUCGGGGUGGGGGCAAGGGGAGGGAGAGCAUUGGGAGAAAUACUUAAUGCAUGUGGGGCUUAAAACCCAGAUGACGGGUUGAUAGGUACAGCAAACCAUCAUGGCACAGGUAAACCUAUGUAACAAACCUGCUUGUUCUGCACAUGUAUCCCAGAACUUAAAUAAAAGAAAAUAAAAAGAAAGAAAUGCUGGCCUUCCAACCUUUCUUUCUUUGCCCUUCUCCAAGGUUCUUCUGUAGGCCAGCAUAAAACUAAUUUCCAUUCUUAAAAUUUCUGUAGUAGGGGAGAGGACCAUUUUCUCCUUCAUCCUUGGGAGCAGUGACCCCACAAAUGUGGCAUCUGAAACCCUGGACAUGCGGCAUCUCUUUGAAGUCCUGCUCACCGCCCUGGGUGGACAGCUCCCUGAGGCCAACAGGGACCUACCGGGAACCUGCGCCCACUGGCAGCGAGGCUGUUUUCCCGACACGGCCUCAGUUGCCAGCAGGGGUUUUUAAAGCAUUAAAAAUAAAGGGGAAUAUGUGUUUGAGUUAUUUAGAGGCAAAAUUUAAAUUUUCUGCUCAAAGCAGCGACAAGGGAAGGAUGUGGGUUGGAUGGAGAUGGGAAAAUAUGUAAGUAGGUCAGUGAAGCAGUCACUUACUAAGUAAUAUCCUGGCAGCCUGCGAGAGUCCAUGAGGCGUUCAAAGGGGCCUGACUGAGAGCUUGAAAGAAGUCUCAGCCCUGGGAGGGCAGAGCCAGUGGGGCCUGGAAGCGAGCUGAACUCUGGGAAUUGUGCUGUUAUCAGCAGGGGAUGGCCUGGGCUUGAUCCUCAAAAUGAGGAACACCUAAGUGACUGCUGAUCUGACUCGGCCAUCAGGGGCCACCCCAUACCCCUCCAAGGUGAAACAAGGACGGAGUCACGCCGCUCCCCAUGCAUGGUACCUG